rnacentral:rRNA from 1 species
UACGAAGGGGGCUAGCGUUGCUCGGAAUCACUGGGCGUAAAGCGUGCGUAGGCGGUUCGUUAAGUCUGCUGUGAAAGCCCUGGGCUCAACCUGGGAACUGCAGUGGAUACUGGCGGACUAGAGUGUGAUAGAGGAUGGUGGAAUUCCCGGUGUAGCGGUGAAAUGCGUAGAGAUCGGGAGGAACACCAGUGGCGAAGGCGGCCAUCUGGAUCAACACUGACGCUGAGGCACGAAAGCGUGGGGAGCAAACAGG